rnacentral:rRNA from 1 species
UACAUGGGGUGCAAACGUUGUUCGGAAUCACUGGGCGUAAAGCGCACGUAGGCGGAUCUUUAAGUCAGGGGUGAAAUCCCGAGGCUCAACCUCGGAACUGCCUUUGAUACUGGGGAUCUCGAGUCCGGGAGAGGUGAGUGGAACUGCGAGUGUAGAGGUGAAAUUCGUAGAUAUUCGCAAGAACACCAGUGGCGAAGGCGGCUCACUGGCCCGGAACUGACGCUGAGGUGCGAAAGCGUGGGGAGCAAACAGG